rnacentral:lncRNA from 1 species
GAAGAUGUACAUUUUAGUUGAAGUCAUGUAUCAGUUGUUUCUCUUUAUUGACGUAUAAUGGUAUUUGAGCUUGUGUAUCUUUGCUCACCAUAAUUGCAGGUGUAUUUGCUACAAUCGUCUAUAUAAUGAAACUGAUCUUUGUUAUACUUAUUUUAGAUAAAUCUAAGCCUUUUACAGACUUAUUAGUGGAUAAGUAUAAUUUUAUGAUCAAAAUGCAGAUUUCUUUUAUGAAGUAACAGAAGCAAGAUGCUUCAGCAAAAUCUAAUGAGGGCACUAUACCAAAUGAAACCAGAUCAAAUCCGACACAGGUGACGUUGAUCCUUCUGGCACAAAACCUGACAUGAAUAAUGCAUUUCUCAGUGGAAGAAGAUGAGGUAACAAUUGAAGUAAUGUUUUCUUCUUUGCUGCAUCUUUCUAGACAGGAUAAUUUUGUUGCUACGUUGAAUCUCUAGUAUCUAUCAUGAAUUAUUUGUGGACGCCAAUGUUUCAGUCUUGAACGUACCAGUUGGUACUAUGACAUUCUAGUUAUUUUACAGGCUAGAUGAGUCUAUUAUCAUUAAGUUUGGCGUGGUUGGAACAACUGGUUCAAUGGUUCUUCUUGAGUGGCAUCAUUUGUAACAACUGGAAAUUUAGUUGGUUUAAAUUUGGCUGUUUAAAAGUGAUGGUUAAUGUAUCACAUAAAGAGGAUGGAAAAAUGGCGCGUUGUGCCUACCCAAGUCAAGGUAGACUUCAAAUGUAAAGCAGAAUGCUAGCCUGGAAGUCAUGAAUCCUGCUUAGAUCUGGAAAGAUUUAUAUGCUGUAAAGGAUCAGUGUUUUCAUUCUGCCUUCUACUUGCUAUGCUACUUUUCAAACCAAUACUCAUUUGAAUAGUUGUAUCAUGUUUCUUGACUUGCUAGCAA